ensembl:miRNA
CUCAGAUCAGAAGGUGAUUGUGGCUUUGGGUGGAUAGUAAUGAGCCACAGCACUGCCUGGUCAGAAAGAG